rnacentral:sRNA from 1 species
UAGAAGAUUAUUUUCGGGCAUUAGAACGAAACCCCUUUUUACUAAUUAAAACAAGCUAAUAAUUCAAAUGUACCACGUCCAUAAACACC